rnacentral:rRNA from 1 species
UACGGGGGGGGUAAGCGUUGUUCGGAAUUACUGGGCGUAAAGGGCUCGUAGGCGGCCAACUAAGUCAUACGUGAAAUCCCUCAGCUUAACUGGGGAACUGCGUGUGAUACUGGAUGGCUUGGAUUUGGGAGAGGGAUGCGGAAUUCCAGGUGUAGCGGUGAAAUGCGUAGAUAUCUGGAGGCACACCGGUGGCGAAGGCGGCAUCCUGGACCAAUAUUGACGCUGAGGAGCGAAAGCCAGGGGAGCAGACGGG